rnacentral:lncRNA from 1 species
GCGCUGUUGCAGUUUUUUCCUCCCAUCAAAACAUGUUUUUUUUUAUUUGGCUGGUUGGUAUUUUUUUACUGGGAGCUGCUGACUGACUCUGAUGUCUUUGUGCACUGCUCCUGCCAAAGCUGCUUGCGCAGGAGGUCAAAGCAAGAGUGAAGACUGUUUGCAAUGCUCAGAGACGCACUGAAUUUCAGCCAAACGCCUUUGCAAAGUUCAGCGCUGGCCCCGAGGCUCUGUUAGCAGCACGUGUCUGUGGCCUAAAACUCUUCCUGAGCUCAACCACAACCAUCUGUGGCCCAUCACAGCCGUCACUCUCCAGCCAAGCGCAAACCAAGCCAGCAGCUCUCAGCACUCAGAUGAGGCAGCAUCGGCAGCACUCAGCCUUACCAGAAAGCCGUCUUUCUUGAAAGAAGAGCUUUUGCAUCUCAACAACAAACCUCAUACCUCUGAGCAAGGUUGCAAGGAGAGGUCGGGCACCGUCCUGUCACAGCGAGAAGAGAGCUGGAAUGAUGGACCUCUCACAGCCCGGACGCCUCGUCACCGGGCGCGUUUCACUGCUCCUCUCAGCGCUGGUUCUACAGUCACCACGGCAGCGUCCUCCGAAUAACCUGCGAACCCGGCUCUGCCAUCACGGCCGCCACC